AAGUCGUAACAAGGUUUCCGUAGGUGAACCUGCGGAAGGAUCAUUCAUGUGUGGCACCUUUAUGGUGUCUUCACUCUCACUACACUGUGUUGCCGUUUCCGGGUGGUCGCGUGCGGCCGCUCUUGACUACACACCCCGAUGCACACCCGAGACUGACCUUGCGUGCGCGUUAACGUGCACUAUAACAGUAAAACAACUGUUGGCAACGGAUCACUCGGCUCUCGUGUCG
rnacentral:misc_RNA from 1 species